AAACCAAUGCAAAAUAGUUGUCCAAGAACAAAAAAUCAGCAACAACAAAAUCAAGUAGAAAAUCCAAAGCAAACUCAUGAAAACCAAACACAAAAACAACAAGAAACAUCUUCCAAACCCAGCGAAAAUAGAAAACCCAAAACAGCCAAAAACCUCCAUAGCUGGCAAGCAGAGACACCAAAUAGGAGACUGGGUUGAGAUUCCUCAAGUAAGACCACAUUUCUCAACCAAGAACUUUGAGAGAAGAGAGGAGGGAACUACGGUGGUUGAUGAAAACGACGAUCCAGAUUGGCUAGUUCCAAAACCUUAAGCGAAGCAUCCUCAACCCAAAAAGAAUCUUCUGAGUGUUUCAUACCUUCAAAUGCCAUCGCAUGCGCAGCAGCAUUACCUUCUCUCGCUACGAAUUCGAAUCAACAGGAUGUGAAUCCUUUCAACAUGUUCUGUACAUUCCAUAGAAACUAAAUUCUCAUAACACAUUAUUAGAAAUUUUUAACACUUAAUAAUUAAGACUCAUUAAACCAUAACUUUAUAAGACUUAUUUCCA
rnacentral:lncRNA from 1 species